GCGGUCGUGGCGGAAUUGGUAGACGCGCUGGAUUUAGGUUCCAGUGCCGCGAGGCGUGAGAGUUCAAGUCUCUCCGACCGCACCA
rnacentral:tRNA from 1 species